rnacentral:lncRNA from 1 species
UAAGCUCGUCCUCUCUUCUUCCCCAAGAUGUUGUUCUUUAAUCCCCAAUACCUGUGAAUAUUUUACUUGACAUGGUAAUAGACUUUGCAGAUGUGAUUAAAGGUAUAGGUGCUGAGUUAGGCAAAUUAUUCUUUAUUUUCCAGGUGGGUUCUUUCUUAUUGCAUGAAUCCUUAAAAACAGAAAAUUGUUCCUGGGCGUAGUCACAGAUCGAUGUGAAGAUAGAAGACAGCACCAGAAUCAAUGAACUCUGCAAAGAUCCUGGACUCCUUCUCCUGCUGCAUAAUAAAGGAAGUGAAAUUCUGCUUCAUCGAUGAAUAACAGGAUUUUAUAUAAAACUUUGAAUGACAUAGGAGGGACAAUUUGCAUAGAACAACAAGUCCUCAAACUGGCCACAAGCUGUCUGCACUGUUAUUUGAGGAUUUCCAAAAUGCCAGAAGGUGCACUAACAGCUGUAGAUACUUGAGUCAACAAGAAACUUCUGUACUUUUUCUCUCAAGGUCAUACAGCCCUGAAUCUGAUAGCAACAGAGCUUCAGCAAUAACAGCAGAUGCCAUCUUAGAUUAAUGUGUUCCCUUGGAAGUUAGGAAUUCCCUUUCUCUCCAUAUUGCUGCGUGGGCAUGGAGGACUAGAUGGAUUUUGGAAACACAGUGGAAUGACGUUUGCUGUCUUCCCUGCUGGAUUAUAGUUACGGGAAAUUGCCAUGCUUCAAG